rnacentral:rRNA from 1 species
CAGUCGAGCGGUAAGGCCCUUCGGGGUACACGAGCGGCGAACGGGUGAGUAACACGUGGGUGAUCUGCCUCGCACUCUGGGAUAAGCCUGGGAAACUGGGUCUAAUACCGGAUAUGAGCCUGGACUGCAUGGUCUGGGUUGGAAAGGUUUACUGGUGCGAGAUGGGCCCGCGGCCUAUCAGCUUGUUGGUGAGGUAACGGCUCACCAAGGCGACGACGGGUAGCCGACCUGAGAGGGUGACCGGCCACACUGGGACUGAGACACGGCCCAGACUCCUACGGGAGGCAGCAGUGGGGAAUAUUGCACAAUGGGCGAAAGCCUGAUGCAGCGACGCCGCGUGAGGGAUGACGGCCUUCGGGUUGUAAACCUCUUUUGACAGGGACGAAGCGCAAGUGACGGUACCUGUAGAAGAAGCACCGGCCAACUACGUGCCAGCAGCCGCGGUAAUACGUAGGGUGCGAGCGUUGUCCGGAAUUACUGGGCGUAAAGAGCUUGUAGGCGGUCUGUCACGUCGAUUGUGAAAACUUGCAGCUCAACUGCAAGCUUGCAGUCGAUACGGGCAGACUAGAGUACUUCAGGGGAGACUGGAAUUCCUGGUGUAGCGGUGAAAUGCGCAGAUAUCAGGAGGAACACCGGUGGCGAAGGCGGGUCUCUGGGAAGUAACUGACGCUGAGAAGCGAAAGCGUGGGUAGCGAACAGGAUUAGAUACCCUGGUAGUCCACGCCGUAAACGGUGGGUACUAGGUGUGGGUUUCCUUCCACGGGAUCCGUGCCGUAGCUAACGCAUUAAGUACCCCGCCUGGGGAGUACGGCCGCAAGGCUAAAACUCAAAGGAAUUGACGGGGGCCCGCACAAGCGGCGGAGCAUGUGGAUUAAUUCGAUGCAACGCGAAGAACCUUACCUGGGUUUGACAUACACCGG